CCCGUUUGGGGAAUGCGGAGACAUUACUGAUUUGCUUAAUUGCACCACAUGUGUUUUUCUUUGAAACAAACUUGCUUUGGCGGUGGGCCCAGCCUGCCGCCAGAGGUCUAAACUUACAACCAAUUUUUUAUCAACUUGUCACACCAGAUUAUUACUAAUAGUCAAAACUUUCAACAACGGAUCUCUUGGUUCUCGCAUCGAUGAAGAACGCAGCGAAAUGCGAUACGUAAUAUGAAUUGCAGAUAUUCGUGAAUCAUCGAAUCUUUGAACGCACAUUGCGCCCUCUGGUAUUCCGGAGGGCAUGCCUGUUUGAGCGUCGUUUCUCCCUCAAACCGCUGGGUUUGGUGUUGAGCAAUACGACUUGGGUUUGCUUGAAAGACGGUAGUGGUAAGGCGGGAUCGCUUUGACAAUGGCUUAGGUCUAACCAAAAACAUUGCUUGCGGCGGUAGCGUCCACCACGUAUAUCUUCAAACUUUGACCUCAAAUCAGGUAGGACUACCCGCUGAACUUAAGCAUAUCAAUAAGCGGAGGAAAAGAAACCAACCAAAAAAAA
rnacentral:rRNA from 1 species